UACGUAGGGUGCAAGCGUUAAUCGGAAUUACUGGGCGUAAAGCGUGCGCAGGCGGUUGUGCAAGACCGAUGUGAAAUCCCCGGGCGUUAACCUGGGAAUGGCAUUGGUGACUGCACGGCUAGAGUGUGUCAGAGGGGGGUAGAAUUCCACGUGUAGCAGUGAAAUGCGUAGAGAUGUGGAGGAAUACCGAUGGCGAAGGCAGCCCCCUGGGAUAACACUGACGCUCAUGCACGAAAGCGUGGGGAGCAAACAGG
rnacentral:rRNA from 1 species